ACACGUAGGAGGCGAACGUUAUCCGGAUUUACUGGGCGUAAAGCGCGUGUAGGUGGUUCUGUAAGUAGGGCGUGAAAGCUCCUGGCUCAACUGGGAGAGGCCGUUCUAAACUGCAGAGCUAGAGGAUGGUAGAGGGAGGUGGAAUUCCGGGUGUAGCGGUGGAAUGCGCAGAUAUCCGGAGGAACACCAGUGGCGAAGGCGGCCUCCUGGACCAUUCCUGACGCUUAGACGCGAAAGCUAGGGGAGC
rnacentral:rRNA from 1 species